rnacentral:tRNA from 1 species
GGCGGGGUCGCCAAGCGGUAAGGCAACGGUCCCAUACGCCGUGCAGCGCCGGUUCGACUCCGGCCCCCGCCACCA